GCUUGGCAGAUAGGAGCCUUUGCCUCUCUGUUUUGAGCUUGGCUUUUAAUUGUCGGGCUGAAGGGAACAUUUAGCUUUGUGCCCACAAACACACAGACCUUCCAUCUCUUCCUCCCAUGCCUACCUGUAAUCACUGAGGUGUGGCUCAGGGUGCAAAACAACCACAGAGUGAGCUGGUUUGAAUGAGAGCCUCAUUUGUGGGGAGGUGAGACAGGAUCAGCUGGGCGUCCAUAGGUUGUGAGUUGGCAUUGAGGGCUGGAAAAGAAGCCUUAGGGGACCCAUGAGAAUGCCGUAGAUGUGAUCCAAAGUAAGGACAAGCACAGUGUGAGUUCCCAGGUUUAGUUUUGGUGAAUUCCGUGCAGGUGAGGAGACCAGGAACUAUAAGCAAACACUUAGAGAAAGUGAAUUCAGAUGUUACCAGUGAAAAUAACCAUUGGCAUAAAAGGCAAAUGGCAGCUGACAUUUAGAAGAGACAAGAAUUAUUUCAUACCACAACACCCAAAACCCAUAUCAACUGCCAUCAUCAAACAGAGAAAAAGACCCUAAGAAACUUGGUGAGUGAUAACAUAACAGAACAGAAAACAAAUUUCCUGAACACAGAAAAUGAAGUCUCCCUGAAGGAAGGCAAAAGACAAAAAAGAGAGACUAAAAUGUAAGUUGUUAUAUCUUUAUGCCUGAUGUUAUAACAUUGGAAGCCUAUACAUUAUGUGCAACCACCUGCCUUUAUUAUAUCACACAUUUUGAGUAUUCAGGAGCUCUUAGAUCAUUCAAUAAAUAUUAAUGUGAGCUUAGCAAUUGUGAAUUUAGGUUUUGGAAAUAUUUUCAGUCAUUUUAAAAGCUUCAAGUCUCUCUUUCUUUCCUUCCUCCUUUCUCUCCCUCCCCUUCUUAGUUAUGUGUACAUGUAUUAACUAUAGAGCUGCUUUGUGUCAUGUGGAGUGCUGCUCUUAAGGAUAUCAAUGUGCUUAGAGUAUUUUCCCUGCCCUAGAAGGAUGCAGAAGCUAGAGAUGGUAAUGAGGUAGAGGCUGUAAUAAAUGGAUAAAUAGGAUGUUAUAGGGGCAAGAAAAAGAAAGUAACGGUGUUUAGGGAGGUCAGGAAAGGAUUCACAGAAAAGGUGGCAUUUGAGUUGAGUUUACUGUGUGUGAAAGGUAGGGUAAGAACUUCUAUGUAGAGAAAAUAGCUUGUGCUAAAGCACAAAGACGAGAAAUAGCCUCAUGCAUCUUGAACCUCAAAUGAUUCAAAGUAGCUCAUACAGAGGAUAUUUGUGGCAAGGUGAGAUUACAUAGAUAGGCAAGAGCCUGACCAUGGUGGUCUUUACAGGCAAUAGCCAAGGAGUUUGUGGUGUGUUCUAAGUGGACUUUAAAUAGGCAGAUUUUAGAAAGAAG
rnacentral:lncRNA from 1 species